GACGAACGCUGGCGGCGUGCUUAACACAUGCAAGUCGAACGGUAAGGCCCUUCGGGUACACGAGUGGCGAACGGGUGAGUAACACGUGGGUGAUCUGCCCUGCACUUUGGGAUAAGCCUGGGAAACUGGGUCUAAUACCGGAUAGGACCACGGUCUGCAUGGAUUGUGGUGGAAAGCUUUUGCGGUGUGGGAUGGGCCCGCGGCCUAUCAGCUUGUUGGUGGGGUGAUGGCCUACCAAGGCGACGACGGGUAGCCGGCCUGAGAGGGUGACCGGCCACACUGGGACUGAGAUACCGGCCAGACUCCGUACGGGAGGCAGCAGGUGGGGAAUAUUGCAACAAGUGGGCGCAAGCCUGAUGCAGCGACGCCGCGG
rnacentral:rRNA from 1 species